CACAACUGACAAAUGAAGUAUUUCAGAAAAAUAUUUACCCUAAAAUUAUCAGUGACUUGUUGCCAUGACUAAAAUUAUCAAAUUUCAUAAAUCAUGAACUAAUGUAACUGCAAAUGUAAACAAAUAGGUGAACACACACCCAGUACAGACUGUUAUUUGCCUUUAGACUCCUAAGUCUGGUUUUUGCUUACAUUUAUAUAUCAGAUUCCUAAUAAAUUUGUUACUUUAUAUAUGUCCUUCAGGACUUCAAGAUCAUUGGAUAUUAUUUCUCAUGAUUGGUACCCCCGCAUUUACCCCCUUCUUCCAGAUUUACCCCCUUCUUCCAGACAAUGAGAAAUAAACAUCCCAAAUUUAAAUAUGAAAUUAACUCACACACAAAGGUUUCAAGAUACUGUGUAUAAUUUCAUUCACAACUGUAUUUUAAACUACAUACAUACGGAAACCAACCUGUCACUGUUAAAAUAUUCUGCUUUGAUAACUACAUGUUUACACAUGAAGAAUUUCGUUUCCAUAGAUGUUCCUUUCACUAUACAGGCACAAUACUGAGUAUGUAUCCUUCCAUGAAAGUACAAUAAAAUCCCAAGUGAUAUUCUUUGGUCAAUACGUAAACAUUACUUAUAAUCAUUAUUAAUCAACAAUGUUUACUUAAUUCUUUAUAAAACGUCGCACACAAGCAACUGCAUGGAUACAAAAUAGACAGUUUAUUUUAUAAUAAAAGACAGAUAUCACUCGACCAGUUUUAUCUCAGUUUGAUCGUUGAUCUUUGAUAAAUAUUACCGUUCGCUAUUCCACCAUUUGUUGAAAGAAAGCUCGUAGAAUGCAUAGUUUUAAUAUAUACCCAUUUUAGAUCUCACUAGGAAAGUUUUAUUUAUCGUAAAAUAAUAAAACUCGAAAACGUCGCGCCUUCACGCUGCCAUGUUUGACAAAAUCAAUCGGUUCCGCUCCCCCCGGAUUGAAAACUAAAUUAUUACGAAAUGUCCAAUAUUUUUGGACACACGUGACCAGUGUUUACCAGGGCCUUUGCUUCCCGUACCAGAGCCUCUGAACCGCGCAAAGGCCCUGGGUACGAGGUUGGGCUUCUGAGAGCAAUAAGCGCAGAAGCCCUGGGUACGAGGUUGCUGAACUAUAUAACAUGGAAGUCUGACUCGAGCUAAAAAAGUGAAGCCAACAUGGCGGAAUUUGAAGGCAUUCUUGCGCGUCAUUCUCAGUCCCCUUACGUGCGCGGUCAACAAAACUUUUAUAUUUUUCUUUACUUUCCGAGUAAAAAUCUGGCGAAAAACAGACGAAAUUUGAAUGAAAAGUUGAAUUCUGGUAUUUUGUUUGGGUUCGGUUAUAAAUUUUA